rnacentral:tRNA from 1 species
AGGGAAAUAGCUCAGUGGUAGAGCACAUGCUGAACAUGCACGAGGUCCUGGGUUCAAUCCCCAGUCCCUCCA